CCCCCGAACCCUAACUUCCCCCUUCCGAUUCUCCUCCUCCGCCAUCGAUUGCUUCCUCCUCGAUCUCUCCCCGCCAUGGACGUCGCUCUGUCGAUCGACACGCUCGUUUCAGGCCUAGGGCUCGCGAAGAAGCUCUCGCUCGCUCGGUCCCAUCACCACAUCGCUCUCUCCGAUUCGGCCGGCGACCCGUCGGCGCCUUCCGCCGCGGUCCUCCAAAUCUCCGCUGCCGCCGCCGCCGUGAAAUCCCAGGCCUGCAGGACCCUGCCUCGCCGCCUCGUCCGGAGAAGGCGGCGAUCGAAGCGGCGAUCGUUGUCCGGAGAUUGCCCCGACGAAGGGGACGACGUCGGAGACUGCGGAUUCUACGGCAGCGACCCGUUCGGUGGGGGUUUCGGUCCCGGCGGCGGCGGCGGAGACGGCGGCGGAUGGAAUUUCGGGGGACCGAAUUGGGAGGAUGAUUCGUCGUCGCGGUUCGGCUCCGGUUCGGGUUUCGCGCUCGACUUUGUGUAUGAGGUCAUAUGUUGGAUUGCGCUGUCGAAUUGUGUGCAUUUCGCAUUCAAGAAAAUGUUGAGGAGUUUGGCAGUGGAUGGAAUCGGCGAUGCCGCGAGGGAGAAGGUUCCCAUUAGAUUGACAUGACGUCAAUGUGUUAACUUGACAGGGAUCUAUGUACAGCCAGUGGAAUUAUGUUAUUUAUCUGAGGUGGUCUUUGGGUACUCUGCUCUGCUAAGAGCUGCAGGAAAGGCCUUGUUCAAGUGGGAGGGAAGUUCUACAGCAUUUGCACUGCAGCAACAUGGAGAUGAAUGAUGAUUGCAUCAGGACAGCGACCCAGAGAAUUUGGAAGAGAGACGAAAGCUCUGCACCAGCUGCAAUGCUGCAGUAUGAAAACUCAAGACUUUGUUCCUUUGAUUGAUGAUGUCCUCAAUCAAAGACCCCACUUGGAUUUUUGAGUUACGCCACCUUUGGUUCGGUUCAUGCAUCUUCCUUGAUGGGCAGCAAGCACUUCCGUUCAAUCAAAGUCAUAUUAUUUGCUUCACCAACCGUGUUGUGCCCAUUUGACUCUUGCGCCCCUGCUUUUGAAUCCUUUGGGUUACUUGCCGUGGUGAUUGGUGGUAUCACGAAGUAUUUGUUGGGUUAAUUGUCUGAGUUUUGGAUAUUCUCUCAAAGUGAAGCGUGUGCACGACGCGUGUCGCCGUCUCUCUUGCUUUUUUCUCUAGGGAGAAGCAAACACGAAUAGGGAUUGCUCGAUCCAAAAUCGAGUUUUUAGUCAAGCCAUGAUCAACCAAAAUCUACGGAAAAUAUAGGAAAACGAUCUGAAUUUUGGACAUUGGUUGAAAUUACCCGUUGACACGCCAUGAUAAGAAUUUUGAAUAAAUGGAGAAAGGAACAUGAGGCAAGAGCCUAGAUCAUCCCGUGUCCAAAUACACUGAAGAGCUGUAGCAGAUGACAGUGACUCCACGGGAGAAUUAUUAGCCGCUCUGAGGUGCACGCGGGACCGGUUGAUCCGAGCCGGCUCCCCACCCGGAAUCCACGAGAUCUAAUGGCUUGGAUCAACUGGGCUCAUAUGAACCGAGAUCAUUCGAAGUAUUGCUCGACCUAUGUGGGUUCCAAAUUCAAAUCUCUCUCCCCAAUUCAGCCUAUAGUUAGGCUGUGGACCGUCUAAUUUGAGUUCGAACCGUGACUAUUUAGUGUUCACGCACAGUGAGUUUUGUUGAAUUUUGCAACGACGUGUUAGGCCACUUAUUGGAUUAGCUUUGGUAGGUUAGGCUUGAUGUUAAGCUAUGUUGAACUGAGGUCUAUGUUAGGGUACUUUAGGUUGAAAGCGUGGUCCUUGAACCGAUUGAUUAUGUCAGCCAUGACCUAUCCAUCAAAUAGUACUCCUAACCAAUUCGGGAUUUAUCUUAUAUUACAUUGACGAAAAAAUAUGAUCUGUUGACAUUAUACAAUGUGGGUGUUAUAUACCCUGAAUCAUUUCCAAUUGACAAAGGUGAAAGUUGUAUGACCACGUAUUGGUUGAUAUACCUGUCAACUUUUUAAAUU